rnacentral:lncRNA from 1 species
ACAGAAUAAAUGACCACAAAAACCAGAUAAUAUAUGGAUCAGAAGAGAACUUUUAAAAAUCUUAAUUAGCAUUAACAGAAAAUUCCAAAGAGUAUUAUUAAGUAAUUUUGAGGAUCACAAUUGAUUCUUUGGAUGAGCUUGAGGGAUUGCUUGCAAAGAAUUCUUUGUGGAAGUUGGAUGAGCCCAAACAGAAGUCAAUAGCUUCGUACAAAAUUCCUCUGGGCUCUGGAUUUGAUGUUUGACUUUCAGUCUUCUUCCCACAGUCAGUAGAUAAUGAAAUUUCAAUGAAGGGGUGGAAGACAAUUGUCGUAGGGUUGAUAAAGAGUGGACAGUCGUGCAGGAGUAUGAUUACACAAAGGGAGUAUGAUGUAAUGGUAACAAACUGGGGGAACUUAGAAUGGGCUAUUUGUUCAGGUUCUUCUCUGUGUCCUGGUGUCUUCA